rnacentral:rRNA from 1 species
GAUGAACGCUAGCUACAGGCUUAACACAUGCAAGUCGAGGGGAAACGAUAUUGGAAGCUUGCUUCCGAUAGGCGUCGACCGGCGCACGGGUGAGUAACGCGUAUCCAACCUGCCCAUCACUUGGGGAUAACCUUGCGAAAGUAAGACUAAUACCCAAUGACGUCUCUAGAAGACAUCUGAAGGAGAUUAAAGAUUUAUCGGUGAUGGAUGGGGAUGCGUCUGAUUAGCUUGUUGGCGGGGUAACGGCCCACCAAGGCGACGAUCAGUAGGGGUUCUGAGAGGAAGGUCCCCCCACAUUGGAACUGAGACACGGUCCAAACUCCUACGGGAGGCAGCAGUGAGGAAUAUUGGUCAAUGGACGAGAGUCUGAACCAGCCAAGUAGCGUGCAGGAUGACGGCCCUAUGGGUUGUAAACUGCUUUUAUAAGGGAAUAAAGUGAGUCUCGUGAGGCUUUUUGCAUGUACCUUAUGAAUAAGGACCGGCUAAUUCCGUGCCAGCA